rnacentral:lncRNA from 1 species
GCACCAAAGCUGGAGGAGGAGAGCUGGGGGAGCCUGUGCUUGGUACAAGAGGAGAACCUGAAGCCCAGAGGCGAACGCGCGCAUUGCAGCAAAGACGCCACUUCCGCGUUUCCGCGCGCAUUCCUAGUAGGGCCUGGAGGACCUUCCACCAUCGAGACUGGUGGCAUAGAGCGGCUACAGCAGUUUCAGCCACUUCCGCAUUCCAACGCGCAUGCGUGUGGCUGCACGGGAGACAACUACAGAGACCGGCGGACCCAGUGGCUCAGAGCGGCUUCAGCAACGGGACGCCACUUCCGCACGCGUGCAUGGAAGGGAUUGAAGGACCAAUGACAUCCAGUCCUGGAGGACCGGUGGGGCAGAGCGGUUACAUUCGAAUCCACCGCUGGAUCUGAUCAGUGCUGAUCGGUAUCUGAGGGGGUCAGGAGGAUGGGGCUGUGUUCGUUGGUGCCCAGCAACAGGACAAGGGGCAACAAGCACACACGAGAAAAUAGGAGUUCCAUACGAACAUCAGACAAAAAAACUUCUUUACUGUGAGGGUGGCAGAGCUCUGGAACAGGCUGCCCAGGGAGGUUGUGGGGUCUCCUUCUCUGGAGAUAUCCAAACCCACCUGGAUGCUUUCCUGUGCAACCUGCUUUAGGGAACCUGCUUCAGCAGGGCUUGGACUGGGGGAUCUCCAGGGGUCCCUUCCAACUCCCAGGGUUCUGUGGUUUUGUAGCAGAUGGCCAUAUGUGCAGUCAGUUGGAUAGAAAACCCUGUACUCACAUGACCAACACUUACUGCAGGAAGGUACAGUAUAUCAGAAGAAGUUGUUCAGGGACUUCAGACUUCAAGCAUGUUUCCAUGCAGCUUUCUUUAUGCUGUUCCUUUACUGUUAAUUCCAUUUCAAGGAAUUUCAAGCCAUUUAUUUCUGGGUGCCUCAUUCAUUCUCAUUGCUUCUUCUCUGGUAUCUCAUCCGUGUUUCUU